CUGUACAAACAGUGAAUGAUUUUGUUGAGUUUGUUUGUCUCAGAGUCAGAGAGCCGUGUCUCUGUGCAGUCAGAGGUUUUUGUACGGCGGCUCAGUGAGUUUGUAUCACUGUGGUGGACGUUUGGUGGAGGAACCAGACUGGAUGUUGGAAGUGAUGUGCGCCCCGCCCUGAAGGUGCUGGGUCCCUCCAGUGAGGAGCUGCAGCAGGGGAAGGCCACGCUCAUGUGUCUGGCCAACAAGGGCUUCCCCUCAGACUGGAGGCUGUCCUGGAAGAUGGACGGCAGCAGUGGCAGCAUCAGAGGGGAGGAGAGCAGGACUCCCGCAGUGCUGCACAAUGACGGCCGCUACAGCUGGAGCAGCACCCUGACACUCACUGCAGACCAGUGGGGGAAGGUGGGCUCUGUAACCUGUGAGGCCACCCAGGGCUCCCAGGCUCUGGUCUCAGAGACACUGAGGAGAGACCAGUGUUCCCAGUCUUGA